rnacentral:other from 2 species
UUAUACCUGCCGUGUUCGUAAGCGUUUCUAUGUUUUGAACCUUGAAUGGAAAUAAGGGAGUUUUAUAUGAAUAGCUUGACGUCAAGCUGGAUUUUGCCAGACUUCGAACAGCUAACUGCGGACACCCACCUACUUAGUGUAGGUUCAUAAAACAUUCAUUGCAACGGCACAAGCGGGUAAUGA